AGAUAAUUUAGUAGGUGGGAUUUUCCAUUUAGCCCAUGGCAUACUUCUGAGUCCAGCUUCGUGCAGUGGACUCGUACUUGUUCUUGUCAGUCUUGUACAUGUGAGCUAUCUCGGGCACCAAAGGAUCAUCCGGGUUUGGAUCGGUUAACAAAGAACAGAUCGAUAGCAGCACCU
rnacentral:sRNA from 1 species